rnacentral:rRNA from 1 species
UACGAAGGGGGCUAGCGUUGCUCGGAAUCACUGGGCGUAAAGCGCACGUAGGCGGAUUGUUAAGUCAGGGGUGAAAUCCUGGAGCUCAACUCCGGAACUGCCAUUGAAACUGUAAGACUUGAGGAUGAGAGAGGUGAGUGGAAUUCCCAGUGUAGAGGUGAAAUUCGUAGAUAUUGGGAAGAACACCGGUGGCGAAGGCGGCUCACUGGCUCAUAUCUGACGCUCAGGCGCGACAGCGUGGGGAGCAAACAGG